ensembl:lncRNA
ACAGAGAUACGAUAGAGCUGAAGACAAACACACACGUACACUGAAGCCACCGCUCUGCACUGAAGUCACGGCAAGGAGGUGGGGAACAAAGUGCACUGCAGUUUCAAGAGGAAAAAUAGCUGGAUAUGGGAACUGCGGGGACACAGCCACCUACCAAGGGCAGAGCUAAGAAUGAUGUCAUGGCCCUGUCCCCUCAGCAGGGCCCACCACCCAGGCAAGUGGUGCACAGCGGAGAUGUGCACUGGGAAGGCAGCCAGAGCCCAGUUGAACCCUGGCUUUGUCCUCAAGAGAGGCUCAGCUAUAAGGAGAGUACAAAGAACAGUGCUUGAGAUGAUGGUAGGCCAUUAUGCUUCUUCCACAGCAACCAGAACUUACAGCUAGAGAUAAUCUGCAAGAGGUGAUUGCUCCAAUUUCCACCCCCCCCUGCAUCCUGCCCUGAGCAGCUUUCCGAAACCACUUCUGUUCAUAGAGAGGGGCAACCUGAGGCCACGAGCUCUGGAGGGCUGCAAAGGCACAAGCCCUGGGAGCCAUGCUGCAUGCGUUCUGGAUCUGCCCAGCAUCCCCUCACCUCCCCCAGAUGGAACAGAGCAGGCCCUCACCUUCCAUAUGCAGACAGCUGCACUCAGCUCUGCACCACAUCCCUGCACACACUUCACACCAGAAUGGGCACAGGCUUUAAGUCCUUAAUCUCCAAAGUUUAAUCAAACAAUCUGCAAUAGGUCGUCUUUCAGAGGGGAACUAAAGGCGAUUCCUUAAUUAGAUUCAAGAACUGCAACACUUGAAGUUAAAUCAUGCUUAGAAACAUGGAAAUUGAAAGAUGAUAACUAAUGGGAUUUACAGACGAUUUCCUUUAAAAGUCAAAAAUUAUUACUGCACACAUGUACCCUAAGGACCUUUCCGUAGGUGUUAAAAAUAUCCCACUUAACAGCAGACAAUGAGAAUAUAUCUACUUAUACGGAAAGAUGAACAACAAAGCCUCUGCCAAGACAUCUUUAAUAAAAAUAAAGAUCCCCAAUUAUAGACUAGAGCCUGCAAUUCCUUUCACUUCCUCCACCAUUUACGUCUCUGCAGUACUUUUGCAACCAAAGAUACUGUCAUGGCCAGGCAAUACACACAAAACACACCUUAGCCCCAACCUGGGUGACAUUGAUGUGGCAAGAUAGAAGAGAGGACAUCAGGUCUGAACUCAGUGACAGGGAUGUGGAACACUUACACUGUCAAGUAUUUGUUCCAUUGUACAGUAGCAUAUCACUUCUUCAGUGAUACCAAUUUAGUAUGGUUUAAAAGAUAUAUGAUCUGAACACAAAUUAGAAGAGAGUCAGGUAGCAAAUUUUGGGCUAAUCUUCAAGUUGUGAAUUUCUUGCAACGAUAGUAAUGAUGCACAGAAAUUACUGUUUGCAGUUUAACACUACACUACAGUGGGUAGCGUAGUGGUACUCUUCUUCCCAUGCAGUAUCUUUUGUGUGGGCAUUCUACGUGGACUCACUUUGCAAAGCUUUGUGUGCUGUGUGUUUCUUUGCUUACUCAUCACUGCAAGGUGUUAUUCCUUUCCCAACUCUGGUCUGUAGAAGGUCACUGCAAGGGCUAAACUACAUAAGAAAAAAACCAAAGCACCAACAUCAGCAUCUCUGCCAGUGCCAGAACCUGGCAACACACCUCUUGUUCUAUUGAAGAGCUCAUUCUUUUGCAAGCCUCAUGUGGAAGCUGCCAUGGAUGGGAUCAAAAUUGGGCACAAAUCCUGCACUGAAGUAUUGCAUCCCACGUCAAUGAUUGGAAUGACUUCUUUUUAAACAUCUGAAUACAGAGCCUUACAGGGGACUCUACAGAGUUCUGAAGGCAAAUAUCUUCCAUUUCCUUUUGAGAGUUCAUUAACAAUAUUUACCAUGAAUUGUCUUGCUCAAUAAAGCAAUUAGCAAUAAGUUC